CUUAGUAAAUUAUAAGCUUUGUAAUACCUUACAAAAAAACUUUUGCAUAAAGCAUAUUCCAGUUACAUUAUAUUUACUCAUUAGCAUAUUUUUAUAAAAUCAUAUAAAGUGCAAUGUCACAAUAUGUACAUGCCAAGUGACCUAAGCUGCAGGCAAAAAUAACUGCAGGUUGUAAUGUUGCAAGUACAGCCACAAAAAUGGAAGAAAGACUGAAAGUUGGGCCUUAAAACUAUAAAUUGUUGCCUGCAGCCUGCUUCGCUUAAAGGUAGGAUUUAAAAAUCUCACACCUUCAGCUGUAUAAUAAAAUAGUGCUAAGGGCAUUGUUGUAUGAUGACCAUAAAAAAGAUGCAACAAAGAAGCAUCUAAAUAAAUCCAUUUAGUUUUACACCAUUGAACCCAUUUCAUCCCAUUGGCCCUCAUAACACAAAGGAGUCUAUGCAACUUCUUCCAGAGACCUUCAGUGCUGCUCCCAAAACAUUAAGAGGCUCUUCCAAGUGCAAUGUUCACUCAGUUCACAAGGGUACCUGUACACUGAAGGGGUUGGAGAGUCAGGGUCAAGCCGGAAGGUGUAAUUAAUUCAGGUUAGUGAACCCAAGCUCCCCUUUAGGCUUUAACUUGAGUUGCUAACCCACGUUAAAAACUGAGUUGCUGUGUCUUCACUGUUAUUUUUAGCCAAACUCACUGUUACCACAGGUCUCUCAGCUAGGCCAUUGAGAUGGUUGCCUGAUGUAAUCUAUUUUGUUUAAAACUUUUAAUAAUUACUUAAUUGCAAAUGAUUCCGUGUUUCAUAAAAGCAGAGAAAUGAAAGAAUAAUUUUAAUGGCAGACUAUCCAAUGAAGUAGGUUCCUUUAAAAAGGUAUUGUUCCAUUAUAUUUGAAUCAGGUUAAUUUAAUGCUAGCUUGACUCCAGUUCAAAUCUGCAGUACAUUUUAACUUAAGUGUAGGUGAAAUCUAGAAUUACUAUUUGAAUUACAACUAGCUGGAUUUGUUUGUGAAGGUCUAGUACUUAGCGGUGCAAUCAUAGCAAUACAACUCAAGUUUUGAACAUACAAAGCAGACUAAAUAUAAAUUAUACUUGGCAACUCCUUUGUAUUCUAUCACAAUAAAAUGCCUGCCCACAAAAUGUAUGAUCUAUUUUUUUUAAAUCUUCUCAUGAUGUUCUUCUUUAUAAAAUAUUUUUUUCCAGGUGAAGCAUCAGUUGCUUCAUAUUUCACACUGAAUUUACCUAGUAAAGACCAAGGUAAAUGGAUGAGGUAAUAUCUUUUAUUGGACCAACUUCUGUUGGUGAGAGAGACAAGCUUUCGAGCUUACAUAGUAGAUUAUUGCUUUCUCUACUUAUUUGUUUCAGUUGUCAUAAUUUUUGUUCAUUUUCUGUCAUUUAAUGUAUUUGGUGAAGGAGUCAUUUGUUCUGUUUUAUCUAUUGCUAUAUAGUGCAUGUAGCAUCAGUGGUAUUGGAAGGAGACGGCUUUGUGCUUUCAACAUCAGGUUUAAAUACCUAGACACCUUGAAAUUACAGCUUCAAAUCCUAGGAAGGUCAGAUCAGACCUUCAGACUUCUGAGAUAAUUUAAUUAAACUAACUCUGGUGCGGGGACUGUCAUUAAUUCUGUGUUUUAAUAGCACCUACGUAUAAUGGGGAUCCUGAGUGCUACUAUAACACAAAUAAUAAUAUUGUCAUGCAUUAUAGUACUGUGUCGAUCUUUCUAAUUAAACCAUUAAAAUGGCAGCCCUCUAUGUAGGCAUUAAAAACUCCAUGGCACUUUUAAUAAGAGUAGGGUUUUGCCUUGACCAAAAUUUCUGUCACACAGCACAAAAUUGUGGGCAAUUUGUAAGAUGACUAUACUCUAUACAGUAUGUCAUAGCCUAAAUGUAUUUAUUGUUGUCACUGAUUUCUACCACUUAUCUUAGUCUGAAAACUAAAAGUUAAUUUACUGUGUUUGAGCUCCACUGGAGUAAAGGCUGCUGUUCAUAAUAAAUUGAUGAAAAUUC